AUGUGGGUUGAGGGAUCGUCCGGCUCCUGGGGGGACACAAAGGGGGCUGAGAAAUGGGGACCCCAACAUCAGCACCCAAUGUCAACACCGAACAUUGGCAUCCCAACAUUGGCCACCCCAACACCAGCACCCCAACAUCUGGACCCCAACACCCUACAUCAGCCACUCUACAUUGACACCAAACAUCAACACCCAAAACAACACCCAACAUCGGCACCCAACAUCAACCGCCCUACAUCGACACCCCAACACCAGCACCCCAACAUCGGCCACCCAACAUUAGUACCCCAACGUCAGCACCGAACAUCAACACCCAACAGCGGCACCCAAAACAAUACCCAACACUGGCACCCGACAUCAGCAUCCCUACAUCGGGACCCCAACAUCAACACCCAACAUCAGCCACCCUACAUCGACACCCAACACAGGCACCCCAACAUCGGCACCUUAUAUCUGCAUCCCAACACUGGCACCCUACAUCAGCAUCCCUACAUCUGCAUCCCAACACUGGCACCCGAUAUCAGCCACCCUACACUGGCAUCCCAACAUCUGGAUCCCAACACCAGCACCCUACAUCAGCACCCAAAACAACACCCAACAUCGGCACCCCAACAUCAACCACUCAACACCAGCCAUCCUACAUUGACACCCAACAUGAGCACCCAAAACAACACCCAACAUCGACACCCAACAUCAACCACCCAACACCAGCCAUCCUACAUCAGCGCCCAAAACAACACCCAACAUCAGCACCCCAACAUCGGCCACCCCGACACCAGCACCCAACAUCAGCCAUCCAACACUGGCACCCUACAUCAGCCACUCUACAUUGACACCCAACAUCAGCACCCAACAUCAGCACCCCAACAGCUGCACCCCAACAUCAGCCACCCAAAACACACCCAAUGUUGGCACCCCAACAUCAGCACCCUACAUCUGCAUCCCAACACCAGCAUCCAACAUCAGCCACCCUACAUCUGGACCCCAACUUCUGGGCCCCAACACCAGCACCCAACAUCAGCACCACAACAUUGGCACCCCAACACCAGCACCCUACAUCGACACCCUACAUCAGCACCCAACAUCAACCAUACUCCAUCAACACCCAGCAUCAACACCCAAAACAACACUCAACAUCAGCCACCCCAACACCAGCACCCAACAUCAGCCACCCUACAUUGGCACCCUAAAUCAGAACCCCAACAUCAGCCAUCCUACAUCGGCACCCUAAAUCAGAACCCCAACAUCAGCCAUCCUACACUGACACCCUACAUCUGCAUCCCAACACCGCCACCCAACACUGGCACCCUAUAUCAGCCACCCUACAUUGGCAUCCCAACAUCUGGACCCCAACACCAGCAUCCCAACACUGACACCCUACAUCAGCCCCCCAACAUUGGCCACCAUACAUCGACACCCAACAUCAAUCAUCCUACACUACCACCCAACAUCAGCCACCCAAAACAACACUCAACAUCGGAACCUCAACAUCAGCACCCAACACCAGCCAUCCUACAUCAACACCCAACAUCAGCACCCCAACAUCAGCACCCUACAUCUGGACCCCAACAUCAGCACCCCAACAUCGGCCACCCUGACACCAGCACCCAACAUCAGCACCCCAACAACAUCACCCCAACAGCUGCAUCCCAACAUCAACACCCAACAUCAACCACCCACCACCGGCAUCCUACAUCAGCCACCCAACAUCAGUAUCCAACAUCAGCAGCCAAAACAAGACCCAACAUCAGCACCCCAAAAUCAGCCACCCAACAUUGACAGCCCAACACUGGCACCCAACAUCAGCACCCAACAUCGGCAUCCCAACGUCUGGACCCCGAUACCAGCACCCUACAUCAGCCAUCCUACAUUGACACCCCAACAUCAACCAUCCUACAUCAAAACCCAACAUCUGCCCCCACGUACCCCAAUAUCUGCCCCCAACAUUUGCAUCCAGCCGAGCUCCAAC
ensembl:lncRNA